UGUUCCGUUUUUCCCCACCGCGAUGGAGGAGGAUUGUCUGGAUUUGUGUGGUAACACUGGAGAAGUAAACGAGCCAUCUUGGAAAUUUGUUUGUGUGUGGGACUUCAGGAAUUCCAAUUUCAGGAUUCUUUCAGAAACUUCCAUCCAAAGAUUACAACGUGGAACUUUUGGAACGGAUCCCUUUACUCAAAAAACCAUGACUACUCUGCCCCAACCCCCGCCCCAGUUCCUUUUGAGCUUUUGGAAUAAGAUCUCCAGGUUUGGAUUUAAACUUUCACAAUUAAGCUGAGGUUCGUUGCAUUGGAGAAAAAGGGAUUCAGUUGUGCAAAUGUACUGCUGAUUUUUGAAGUUUUAUAAACUGCUUUGAACUCUACAUUUACCUUCUCGGUGAGGUGGAGAGAUCCUGGAAAGUGCUACCUUGAACGCUGCUUCUAAUGGCAUUGAGUUGAUUUUGACUAGUUUAUACAAGCUGAUGUAUAUUGCCAAUAAGCAACUGAAUAUACUGCGUUGA